UGCAAGUCGAACGGUAGCACAGAGGAGCUUGCUCCUUGGGUGACGAGUGGCGGACGGGUGAGUAAUGUCUGGGAAACUGCCCGAUGGAGGGGGAUAACUACUGGAAACGGUAGCUAAUACCGCAUAACGUCGCAAGACCAAAGAGGGGGACCUUCGGGCCUCUUGCCAUCGGAUGUGCCCAGAUGGGAUUAGCUAGUAGGUGGGGUAACGGCUCACCUAGGCGACGAUCCCUAGCUGGUCUGAGAGGAUGACCAGCCACACUGGAACUGAGACACGGUCCAGACUCCUACGGGAGGCAGCAGUGGGGAAUAUUGCACAAUGGGCGCAAGCCUGAUGCAGCCAUGCCGCGUGUAUGAAGAAGGCCUUCGGGUUGUAAAGUACUUUCAGCGAGGAGGAAGGUGUUGUGGUUAAUAACCGCAGCAAUUGACGUUACUCGCAGAAGAAGCACCGGCUAACUCCGUGCCAGCAGCCGCGGUAAUACGGAGGGUGCAAGCGUUAAUCGGAAUUACUGGGCGUAAAGCGCACGCAGGCGGUCUGUCAAGUCGGAUGUGAAAUCCCCGGGCUCAACCUGGGAACUGCAUCCGAAACUGGCAGGCUAGAGUCUUGUAGAGGGGGGUAGAAUUCCAGGUGUAGCGGUGAAAUGCGUAGAGAUCUGGAGGAAUACCGGUGGCGAAGGCGGCCCCCUGGACAAAGACUGACGCUCAGGUGC
rnacentral:rRNA from 1 species